GCUCCAAUAGCUCAGUUGGAUAGAGCAACUGCCUUCUAAGCAGUAGGUCGGAGGUUCGAUUCCUCCUUGGGGCA
rnacentral:tRNA from 1 species